GGGCGAGAAGUCCAUUGACCCUUAUCAUUUAGAGGAAGGAGAAGUCGUAACAAGGUUUCCGUAGGUGAACCUGCGGAAGGAUCAUUG
rnacentral:rRNA from 1 species